rnacentral:rRNA from 1 species
UCCUCCGCUAAAUGAUAUGCUUAAGUUCAGCGGGUAGUCAUG